UCAAACAGAACGGAGUUGGAACGUUAGCCUGCGUUUGCCGCUAGGGGCGCUGUUCCAACUGCAUACAAAUUUGAUUUA
rnacentral:pre_miRNA from 1 species